UACGUAGGGUGCAGGCGUUAAUCGGAAUUACUGGGCGUAAAGCGUGCGCAGGCGGUUUGCUAAGACAGGUGUGAAAUCCCCGGGCUUAACCUGGGAACUGCGCUUGUUACUGGCAAGCUUGAGUGUGGCAGAGGGGGGUGGAAUUCCGCGUGUAGCAGUGAAAUGCGUAGAUAUGCGGAGGAACACCGAUGGCGAAGGCAAUCCCCUGGGCCUGCACUGACGCUCAUGCACGAAAGCGUGGGGAGCAAACAGG
rnacentral:rRNA from 1 species